GGAGAGGUCAUUCGAUACUGUUGGACUAGAGGACAGUAGGGGGAGGUGGAAUUCCCGGUGUAAUGGUGAAAUGUGUAGAUAUCGGGAGGAACACCAGUGGCGAAAGCGGCCUUCUAGGCUGUUUCUGACGCUGAGGCCCGAAAGCGUGGGGAGCAAACAGGAUCAGAUACCCUGGUAGUCCACGCCGUAAACGAUGGGCACUAGGUAUAGGGAGUAUCGACCCUCUCUGUGCCGAAGCUAACGCAUUAAGUGUCCCGCCUGGGGAGUACGGCCGCAAGGCUAAAACUCAAAGGAAUUGACGGGGGCCCGCACAAGCAGCGGAGCGUGUGGUUUAAUUCGAUGCAACACGAAGAACCUUACCAAGGCUUGACAUGUCGGAAGUAACAACCUGAAAGGGAAGUCACCUGUCAAGUCAGGAACCGUCACAGGUGCUACAUGGCUGUCGUCAGCUCGUGCUGUGAAGUGUUAGGUUAAGUCCUGUAACGAGCGCAACCCUCGUUGCCAGUUGCUUUCUCUGGCGAAACUGCCCUGCAAAAUGGGGAGGAAGGAGGGGAUGACGUCAAGUCAGCACGGCCCUUAUGCGUUGGGCUACACACACGCUACAAUGGGUGGUACAAUGGGUUGCAAUAGAGCGAUCUGGAGCCAAUCCUAGAAAAAGCCAUCCUCAGUUCGGAUUGCAGGCUGAAACCCGCGUGCAUGAAGUCGGAGUUGCUAGUAACCGCAGGUCAGCAUACUGCGGUGAAUACGUUCUCGGGCCUUGUACACACCGCCCGUCACGUCAUGAAAGUCGGCAACACUUGAAGUCGAUGGGCUAACCCCGGUUU
rnacentral:rRNA from 1 species